GUGGUGCAUGUCCGUUCUUAGUUGGUGUAGCGACUUGUCUGGUAAAUUCCGAUAACAAACGAGACUCUAUCCUAUUAAAUAGGUGCGUGGUUCUUUGCACCUUGCACCCUUAGAGGGACAAGCAGCUCCUAGCCGCACAAAAAAAGACCAAGAACAGGUCUGUGAUGCCCUUACAUGUUCGGGGCCGCACGCGCGCUCCACUGAAGGAAGCAGCGUCUUUUUAUCCCUGUCUGUUAAGACAGUAAGCUUAGAAAAAUGUGAUUUCACUAAAUACAGAGGGCUAAUUGAAGUCCAUCGGGCUACCUUAAAGGAGG
rnacentral:ncRNA from 1 species